rnacentral:rRNA from 1 species
GAUGAACGCUAGCUACAGGCUUAACACAUGCAAGUCGCGGGGCAGCAUGGGGGUUGCUUGCAAUCCCCGAUGGCGACCGGCGCACGGGUGAGUAACGCGUAUUCAACCUGCCCUUCACCACGGGAUAACCCGGCGAAAGUCGGACUAAUACCGUAUGUUGUCCAUUGACGGCAUCCGAUUUGGACGAAAGGCUUGGCGGUGAGGGAUGGGGAUGCGUCCGAUUAGCCAGACGGCGGGGUAACGGCCCACCGUGGCUACGAUCGGUAGGGGUUCUGAGAGGAAGGUCCCCCACACUGGAACUGAGACACGGUCCAGACUCCUACGGGAGGCAGCAGUGAGGAAUAUUGGGCAACGGGCGUAAGCCUGAACCAGCCAAGUAGCGUGCAGGAUGACGGCCCUAUGGGUUGUAAACUGCUUUUAUGCGGGGAUAAAGUGGCCCACGUGUGGGCUUUUGCAGGUACCGCAUGAAUAAGAACCGGCUAAUUCCGUG